CUCGAUGAUGAACAGAUUACUAAUGUAGUAUCGGUCUUGUACUCACUAGCGCCACACAAUUUUAAAGCUUGAUUGAAAAACUGAACGCAUCCCUCUGUGUGCUUCCUCUUCCGGUAUCUAUGGCCUUAUGUCAUUCGGUUUUUUGUGUCAAAAACGGCGUCACAUAUUUCCUCAUUUUUUAUAAGUUUUUCAGUGUAUUGUUGAAAAAUGUCACAAAAAAGGUCCUCGGAGGAAGAAAGGAACCAUCUUUUAAAGAAAAUUCGGAAAUUAGAAAGAAAAAUUAUCCGACUCCCCGAAUCGGAUUGUGAAGACGAUGUGGAGAUAGAUGAAUGUCAAUCUUAUAACAAAGAAAACAUGCCUACCCCACUACCUGAGGAUGAGUUUGUAGAAAAUCCAGGUGAAGAAAAUCUAGACCAGGAAGAUUCUAACCUAGAUGAGGAGAUCCUCAAUGUGUUGGGAGUGGCACCUGCUCCAUUACCUAAAAAAGAAAUCCUACAUAAGGAAGUGGCUGACCGUUGGACAAAAAUCCUUAGCAGAGGAUUAGAUAAAGAGGAAAGGGAGCCACUUCACAAGGACAAUAUUGAGUUCCAGAACGUACCAAAGAUGAUAGCACCUAAAUUAAAUAAAGAAGUGGCUGCCGCCAUGAACGAAGGUGCUCGGAAAAGAGACCAGGUCAUUGAAAACCGUCAAAAACAAAUAUCGACGGCAUUAUCCUGCAUUGGCCAGGCCUUGCAGAUGGCCCUACAGAACAUUCAAGAGAAUAAGAUCUCCAUAAUCAAGAAAAUGAAUGAUGCCGGGCGAUUGCUGUGUGAUUCUCUUUUCCUGGAUUCCAGAGGACGUCGGACCUUAGUCUUGUCAACUAUUAACAAGGAUCUCAAAGAUUCUUUGUUAGAAACCGAAGCGGGAGAAUUCCUAUUUGGAGAAAAUUUAACAGAAAAAAUAAAGACAGCCAAAGCUGUACAAAAAUCAGGAAAGGACCUAAAAAGUGAUGACAAGAAGAAACCUUUUGUCAAACAAAAUGAAAAUAAAGACAAGACAAAUAAUAAUAAAACUUUAAACUGGCGGGGCCCUCCUCGAGCAGGAAUACAGCAGAGAUCCCAGAGGUCAGGAGGGCAGCCUUACCACCGGUACAACAAACAUCAGUCUGCGGUGAAGAAAGAAGAUCAAACAACAAUGAGGCGAGGGAGGAAAUAGAUGUUAAGGAAUCCACAUCCUCUGUACAAGAACCUCAGCCUGAUGGCAGGUGUCUUAUCAGGCAAGCUUUCCUAAAAUUAGGAAUCAACAAUGAUGCAGCAGAAAUCAUGUUGGCUUCUAUUUCCACAAAUACUUUGAAACAAUAUCAGCCAUGCAUACUGGCAUGGGCCAGGUACUCAAAAGAAAAAGUUACAAAGAUUUAUUGGUUUAAUUUUACAACUUCUGUCUUUGAACAUCUACAUUAGUAAUCUGUUCAUCAUCGAGGACGAGACAACAACGAACAUAAUUAAUAGUCAAACGAACUUACCUGUACGUGAAGUUCGACUGUAAUUAUGUGAAGUUGUUGUCUCGUCCGAAGAUGAUGAGUCCCUCCCAACCCAUUAGAUCCUAAACAAUUAGAUUAAUUGUAUUGCCCUGUUAUCAGCUGUAAAAUUAAUUCUUCGAACUAGAAUGACAUAAGGCCAUAGAUACCGGAAGAGGAAGCACACAGAGGGAUGCGUUCAGUUUUUCAAUCAAGCUUUAAAAUUGUGUGGCGCUAGUGAGUACAAGACCGAUACUACAUUAGUAAUCUGUUCAUCAUCUUCGGACGAGACAACAACUUCACAUAAUUACAGUCGAACUUCACGUACAGGUAAGUUCGUUUGAC